AGUGAACGCUGGCGGUAGGCCUAACACAUGCAAGUCGAACGGCAGCACAGGAGAGCUUGCUCUCUGGGUGGCGAGUGGCGGACGGGUGAGGAAUACAUCGGAAUCUACUCUGUCGUGGGGGAUAACGUAGGGAAACUUACGCUAAUACCGCAUACGACCUACGGGUGAAAGCAGGGGAUCUUCGGACCUUGCGCGAUUGAAUGAGCCGAUGUCGGAUUAGCCAGUUGGCGGGGUAAAGGCCCACCAAGGCGACGAUCCGUAGCUGGUCUGAGAGGAUGAUCAGCCACACUGGAACUGAGACACGGUCCAGACUCCUACGGGAGGCAGCAGUGGGGAAUAUUGGACAAUGGGCGCAAGCCUGAUCCAGCCAUACCGCGUGGGUGAAGAAGGCCUUCGGGUUGUAAAGCCCUUUUGUUGGGAAAGAAAUCCAGCUGGCUAAUACCCGGUUGGGAUGACGGUACCAAAGAAUAAGCACCGGCUAACUUCGUGCCAGCCGCCGCGGUAA
rnacentral:rRNA from 1 species